rnacentral:rRNA from 1 species
CACGUAGGGUGCAAGCGUUGUCCGGAUUUAUUGGGCGUAAAGAGCUCGUAGGCGGUCUGUCGCGUCGGAUGUGAAAACCCAGGGCUCAACCCUGGGCUUGCAGCUGAUACGGGCAGGCUUGAGUUCGGUAGGGGAGACUGGAAUUCCUGGUGUAGCGGUGAAAUGCGCAGAUAUCAGGAGGAACACCGGUGGCGAAGGCGGGUCUCUGGGCCGAUACUGACGCUGAGGAGCGAAAGCGUGGGGAGCGAACAGG